UCAACUGGGUGAAUGCUUUCAUCUUUUCUUGGUUCCUACUGAAACCCUGUUGAUUUAAUUUAUUUUUCUUUUGCCCUAACUUUUCUCUCUCUCGUUGAUGAUAACAGAGCACCUCAACGAUGACCACUCAGGGGUUUCCGACAAGACAAUGAAGACAAUUUCUCUCACGUAUGUGAUUCUACCAAGCAAACUCUCUAAUGCUUCAAUUUGAGGUUCAGGAGUCGAUAUUCGACCAAGCAAACUCUCUAAUCCUCAACUCUCCCAAGAAUCUUUUCCAGGGCUGAACACUAUGUACGUCUUCCCUGCUACCUCGGGAUUCCACCAUUGGUUUCGAAUGUCGCUAGGAGGCAACCUAUAAUUAGGGCCUAUGUGGGAAAUGACUUCCAAGAUGGUGACCAAGGUUCCUCUCCUUUACCAGCACAUUCUCCACAACUUGAUGGACAUGAUGGUCAAAAAGUAUGCUUGGUGAGUUACACUAUUCCAAAACACGAUGUGGCGGAGGGAAUUGUUAUUAGUAAGGACCCGUUGGUGAAAGUAGAUGGAAAGCCAUUGGGUUUUGAUUUUUGGAAAGUGCUCAUUAAGAAAACAAAAUACCUAAUGCUUCUUUGGAAAUACCUCGCAAAAAAUUUCGCAC